CUGCGCAUUUGUCUGGUUUGAGAGGAUCUGGAGUCCAAACUCCCAGGAGGUGGCCCUAGAGCGCGCCUGGGCUCCCGUGGCCUUCUGUGAGCUGCAGAGUUUUGGGUUCCAGAAAGUGAACGUUUGGAGGCUGGAAAGACAAGAUGAAGUGGUCCCAUCUGUUCAGCCUCUAGGAAGGGGCCCUUCUGCUGUCCUACUACAUGAUGGAGAAGAAGAAGGGAAAUGGCCACAAGCAGCGGCACCCCCAAUGCUCUUAUGACCUCACACUAGACCCCACGUCCUAAGAUUUCCACCACCUUGAUACCAAGUCUGUGUUCUGAAGAUCACAAAUGAAUCACCUUCCCUCAGGGAGCCAAGGAGAAGGAAAGUCACAACCCUCAGUGCACCUGCAUCUGGAGAUCAAGACCCAAAAGAAGUCAUCGAGGUCAAAGGAAAGCGUAAGGGGAGCAGCACAGAAAGAGCAACGCCAGAGUUGUCCUUCUUCCUCUGUCCCUCACUGCCCUUCAGGACAGGCAUGGAAGAAAGGUCACGAGGGGACAUCUGCAGGUCAGCAAGAACUGCUUCAGAAACCGCCAAGGACAACAGAACAGGUAGAGUUGAAGCAAGGCAUUUUUUGAGGAUUAUUAAAGAUAAUGUGUCUUUUUCUAUAAUACAUUUUUAAAAC